rnacentral:rRNA from 1 species
GAUGAACGCUGGCGGCGUGCUUAACACAUGCAAGUCGAACGGAAAGGCUCCUGCUUGCAGGGGUACUCGAGUGGCGAACGGGUGAGUAACACGUGGGUGAUCUGCCCUGCACUUCGGGAUAAGCCUGGGAAACUGGGUCUAAUACCGGAUAGGACGAUGGUUUGGAUGCCAUUGUGGAAAGUUUUUUCGGUGUGGGAUGAGCUCGCGGCCUAUCAGCUUGUUGGUAGGGUAAUGGCCUACCAAGGCGUCGACGGGUAGCCGGCCUGAGAGGGUGUACGGCCACAUUGGGACUGAGAUACGGCCCAGACUCCUACGGGAGGCAGCAGUGGGGAGUAUUGCACAAUGGGGGCAAGCCUGAUGCAGCGACGCCGGGUGGGGGAUGACGGCCUUCGGGUUGUAAACUCCUUUCGCUAGGGACGAAGCGCAAGUGACGGUACCUGGAGAAGAAGCACCGGCUAACUACGUG